rnacentral:rRNA from 1 species
GAUGAACGCUGGCGGCAGGCCUAACACAUGCAAGUCGAGGGAGAAGCCCUUUCGGGGGCAGAAACCGGCGCACGGGUGCGUAACGCGUAUGCAACCUACCUUUCACAGGGGGAUAGCCCGAAGAAAUUUGGAUUAAUACCCCAUAAUAUUAUUGGAUGGCAUCAUUUGAUAAUUAAAACUGCGGUGGUGAAAGAUGGGCAUGCGUCCUAUUAGCUAGUUGGAGUGGUAACGGCACCCCAAGGCUACGAUAGGUAGGGGUCCUGAGAGGGAGAUCCCCCACACUGGUACUGAGACAGGGACCAGACUCCUACGGGAGGCAGCAGUGAGGAAUAUUGGUCAAUGGUCGGAAGACUGAACCAGCCAUGCCGCGUGCAGGAAGAAUGCCUUAUGGGUUGUAAACUGCUUUUAGAUGGGAAGAAUAAGGCGUACGUGUACGUUGAUGACGGUACCAUAUGAAUAAGCAUCGGCUAACUCCGUG